UACGUAGGGUGCAAGCGUUGUCCGGAAUUAUUGGGCGUAAAGAGCUCGUAGGCGGUCUGUCGCGUCGGCUGUGAAAACCCGGGGCUCAACCCCGGGCCUGCAGUCGAUACGGGCAGACUAGAGUGCGGUAGGGGAGACUGGAAUUCCUGGUGUAGCGGUGAAAUGCGCAGAUAUCAGGAGAAACACCGGUGGCGAAGGCGGUUCUCUGGGCCUGUACUGACGCUGAGGAGCGAAAGCGUGGGGAGCAAACAGG
rnacentral:rRNA from 1 species